CUUACAACUCCUUCUUGACCUACUCACUUUCCUAAAAAUUGCAAAGGUGCAGUAAAUAGCUGUAGUGUUGCACUAACUGAAUAUAAAAAAAGGAAAGAUGUCCAGGAGAACUAUUAAAUGUAUUUUAUAAUUAUUUUUUCUUUCCAAUUAUCUGGACCAGCCACAGCCAGAUCAAUCAUGCAGUAAUCAGAAACCGUGGUUCAGAUGACUGAGCAAUCAGGGUGGCAGGGCUGCCGGUCCAUUUGUCAGACUCAGCCAGAGAAGGACAGAGCCUAAAGGAGCUCAGUGGAAGAGUGAGCACGAGUUAUGUUCUCUGGCCUUGGCAAUGGAGGUAGAAUGUCAAGGGGCAAAUGGAUGUCCAGGAGAAAUGGGAAAAGAGAAGCGCCUGAGCCUGGGAAAGGAGCCAUGAACAGUGGGCAGCAUGCUAAAUCACACCCGGGCACAAGUGGAGCAUUCAUCAGGAACCACGAGCCCCUCUUUCAGUCUGCCAAACCUAUCCAAUUACUGAGGCUGGAAGAGCCUGCACAAACCCUUCUGCCAGUAUCAUUUAGCCAUGAAGAAAGAACUUUCUGUCUUACCAGCUAA
rnacentral:lncRNA from 1 species